ACCCCGGCCUGAACGGAGCUCUUUUUUUCUUGCCGCUCGACGGUUUUAUGGGUUUUGCGGCAAGAAAAAAAAGCGGGAGUGGAGGACGGAUA
rnacentral:sRNA from 1 species